rnacentral:misc_RNA from 1 species
ACAUGAGAUAAAUAUUUCAAAGAGUUAAAAUCAAUUAACAAAAGUAAGUCAGAUCAAGACCAUUGCCCUAUCUCAUGCAAAGUCUCACCACUAUAAAACCAAAGGUAGAGCUAGAGACGUAGCAAGGCACACAACCCAUAUGUUUUUACUAUAAGACCAACCUUAACUAUAGAGGUCAUCUUCCUCAGCAGGAGCUGACGAAGCAAACGGAUCAGACCCAGUAGCAGCAACACCGGCUUCGGACCGGUUCUCAAAUCGAAA